UCAAACUUGGUCAUUUAGAGGAAGUAAAAGUCGUAACAAGGUUUCCGUAGGUGAACCUGCGGAAGGAUCAUUACAGAGUACCGGUGCCUUAGGGUGCCUACUCCCACCAUGUGUGAACCUUUACAGUUGCUUUGGCGGGUCGGGCGUGCCCGCCCGCCGGAGGAUCAAACCACUCUUUUUAAACGUGGAGUCUGAGUCUAGUCUAAAAGUCAAAAACUUUCAACAACGGAUCUCUUGGUUCUGGCAUCGAUGAAGAACGCAGC
rnacentral:misc_RNA from 1 species